CGUCAGAAUAUCUUUGUAGAAAAAAUGUAAAUAGUUCUAUUAUGUUUCCUGAAAUACAAAAAAAAAAAUGCUGCGGUUCAAAUAAUGUGAAUUUACUCUGCGACCGAAAUAACAGUAACAAGAACGUCCUUCUCCACAAAGACAUCGACAACGACCACAACUUACACUACGACCUCGUCAACGACUAUUUCUGCGACAACAACCACGACCGUCACCAGCUCGAUAACAACCACCUCGACAUCGUCUCGGAAGCUUACAGCCAUCGUACCAUGGAAAUUGACAAGCUCAUCAACUACGCUGAUUGAAACUACCACAAUUAGUUAUACUCAAUUAGUGCAGGUGACCAAUCCCGCUGUAGGAGACCCGUAUGGGUCUGACACCGUCGUAUGUUCAGAUCUUUUCGCCGUACCUGCCGCUGAAGCUACUGCUGGAAAUAAUGUUUUCCAUUAUGUUGUGUCAACACCGACUGCAGUUAUUUCGGCAACAGCACACGUAAUGUGCAUGCCGUCUACUACAUCAUUUAUUUAGUCAAAAGAAGCAUUUCUAGAAAAUCUUUGAGAACUUCUACAAAUAAUCAAGUCACAUUUUCUUAAUGAAGGGGUUAAGUUUACCAACACAUUCAUUCGGCCAGAAACCUGUCAAUAUAGACCGCCUUGCUAUAACAACCGUUAAUGGCAGUGCACCUGUAAAAGUAGAUCACCUGAAAAUAAAAGGCAAAUAUGGGUCUCUCCAAGGAUAUAUAUUUACUGUAUGUUUGCCUUUAUUCAUAACAUUGCAUAUUUUAUGUUUGUUUAAAAAUGACAAUGUACGCCUUGAUAAAACGCAAAAUUAUGCUUAUAUUCAAGAAUAAAUUAAUGUAGACAUUAAGCCAAGGUGGAUACCUGUAUGGUUUUUGUAUUCAGACGACAAAGUAUUUAGUGAUCUUUACCACAAGGCAAGAAUAGACAAAAGGUAAAAAAGAUGAAAAACAAUGCAUCGAAAUUUCAUAUAGUUUUACCAUGUGAUGCUUUUUAAUGCUGCUAGACACGUAUGAUUUUAUUGACAUUUACACCAAAAUCCACACUCGAUGUAUAAAUUUCUGUAACAGACACUUUGAAAAUGUUUAAGCGCAAUUAUUUCAUAAAUAAUGUAAUAAGCCCUUAUUUUUAUACUUGUCAAAAUGUUUUAAAGAAAACGAACACGCACCACUCUGGUAAAUUCGCUUUUAUUGUGUAAUUUGAGUCUGAAGUGGGCAAUGUGUAUUUGAUUUCGAUAUCUAACAAUCGCGUGAAAAUAUUUUUUAAGCUUAUAUCUGUUAAAUAUGUGUUGUUUUUUUCUGCAAAUGUUUUUGGGAUAUUUGUAUUUCUAAAGUUAUUAGACCUGAGCCUUUGAAUACGAAAUUCCUGAAUUAUUUUUUGAAAUUAUUAAUAAGAAUGGUACAAAUAGCGGUCUUCAGUAUGUAACAGCUAAUUAAUAGGUUGGUACAAAAUGGGCGCAAACAAAUGCAGUAGAAUACUUCUUAAAUUUUUAUUACUCUAUUUUCAACAUGCAUAAAGGUAUGUUUCUAUGACAGGCUUGUUAUUUGAAGCCUUGAUGUAUAACAUUAACCUUUAUCCCUGGUGAAUAAAAGUAUAAAACAUCGUAAA